rnacentral:rRNA from 1 species
AGCGAACGCUGGCGGCAGGCCUAACACAUGCAAGUCGAACGAACCUUUCGGGGUUAGUGGCGGACGGGUGUGUAACACGUGGGAACGUGCCUUUAGGUUCUGAAUAACUCAGGGAAACUUGUGCUAAUACCGAAUGUGCCCUUCGGGGGAAAGAUUUAUCGCCUUUAGAGCGGCCCGCGUCUGAUUAGCUAGUUGGUUGAGGUAAUGGCUCACCAAGGCGACGUUCAGUAGCUGGUCUGAGAGGAUGAUCAGCCACAUUGGGACUGAGACACGGCCCAAAAUCCUACGGGAGGCAGCAGUGGGGAAUCGUGCGCAAUGGGCGAAAGCCUGACGCAGCCAUGCCGCGUGAAUGAUGAAGGUCUUAGGAUUGUAAAAUUCUUUCACCGGGGACGAUAAUGACGGUACCCGGAGAAGAAGCCCCGGCUAACUUCGUG